GAGUUUGAUCUUGGCUCAGGAUGAACGCUAGCGGCAGGCCUAAUACAUGCAAGUCGAACGGUAAAUAUUUUAGCAAUAGAAUAUGAGAGUGACGUACGGGUGCGUAACACGUAUGCAACCUACCUUGUACAGGAGGAUAGCUCGGGGAAACUCGGAUUAACCCUCCAUAAUAUGAUUGAAUGGCAUCAUUUGAUUAUUAAAACUUUGGUGGUACAAGAUGGGCAUGCGUCUGAUUAGCUAGUUGGCGGGGUAAAGGCCCACCAAGGCGAUGAUCAGUAGGGGAACUGAGAGGUUGAUCCCCCACACUGGCACUGAGAUACGGGCCAGACUCCUACGGGAGGCAGCAGUAGGGAAUAUUGGUCAAUGGAUGGAAGUCUGAACCAGCCAUGCCGCGUGCAGGAAGAAGGCCUUCUGGGUUGUAAACUGCUUUUGCCAGGGGGUAAAAGGCGUGCGCGCCAAAUUGAAAGUACCUGGUGAAUAAGCCACGGCUAACUACGUGCCAGCAGCCGCCGUAA
rnacentral:rRNA from 1 species